ACAUCCAGAGAACUUAGCAGAGAUGCUUUGGUGCCUUCGGGAACUCUGAGACAGGUGCUGCAUGGCUGUCGUCAGCUCGUGUUGUGAAAUGUUGGGUUAAGUCCCGNAACGAGCGCAACCCUUAUCCUUUGUUGCCAGCGGCUCGGCCGGGAACUCAAAGGAGACUGCCGGUGAUAAACCGGAGGAAGGUGGGGAUGACGUCAAGUCAUCAUGGCCCUUACGGCCAGGGCUACACACGUGCUACAAUGGCGCAUACAAAGAGAAGCGACCUCGCGAGAGCAAGCGGACCUCAUAAAGUGCGUCGUAGUCCGGAUUGGAGUCUGCAACUCGACUCCAUGAAGUCGGAAUCGCUAGUAAUCGUAGAUCAGAAUGCUACGGUGAAUACGUUCCCGGGCCUUGUACACACCGCCCGUCACACCAUGGGAGUGGGUUGCAAAAGAAGUAGGUAGCUUAACCUUCGGGAGGGCGCUUACCACUUUGUGAUUCAUGACUGGGGUGAAGUCGUAACAAGGUAGGCGUAGACGU
rnacentral:rRNA from 1 species